GAUGAACGCUGGCGGCGUGCUUAACACAUGCAAGUCGAACGGUGAAAGAGGGAGCUUGCUCCUUCUGGAUCAGUGGCGAACGGGUGAGUAACACGUGAGUAACCUGCCCUUGACUCUGGGAUAAGCGUUGGAAACGACGUCUAAUACCGGAUACGAGCUACAGCCGCAUGGCUAGGAGCUGGAAAGAACGUCGGUCAAGGAUGGACUCGCGGCCUAUCAGCUUGUUGGUGAGGUAAUGGCUCACCAAGGCGACGACGGGUAGCCGGCCUGAGAGGGUGACCGGCCACACUGGGACUGAGACACGGCCCAGACUCCUACGGGAGGCAGCAGUGGGGAAUAUUGCACAAUGGGCGCAAGCCUGAUGCAGCAACGCCGCGUGAGGGACGACGGCCUUCGGGUUGUAAACCUCUUUUAGUAGGGAAGAAGCGAAAGUGACGGUACCUGCAGAAAAAGCACCGGCUAACUACGUGCCAGCCGCCGCAGUAACAC
rnacentral:rRNA from 1 species